AUUUUCUGAACUUUGGACCAUGCUCUGAUGUCACCUUUAAAUAUCUAAGCACGUGUUUAGCUACAUUCAAGUCAGCUACCUUGGGUUUGGACAUAUGCUGAGAUAAUUUAGUAACAUUGUAACACAGAUCUGGUCUAGUACCAGUCAAUCAGUCAUGACAUAUAUCAAACUUCCAACAAUUUGUCUGUACAAAUUGGGAUCUCCUAACUCUGGUGAUGAUCCAUCCGUGUCUCUAAUCCGAGGACAGAUGGUGUUGCAUUAGGCUUAUAGUUUGUUUACAGUUUGUCAUCCUAAAUCUAGAUAACAACUUCUGAAUAUAACGAGUCUGAUUCAUCUCGAUAACACUAUCAGAGCAUUUGAACUGAGUACCAGAGUAUCAAUGCAGUAAAUUUUAGGUGCAAAACAGUUUGCUCCUAGAAUGUACUGCAUUGAGUUGACCAUGUUUUAAAUUUUUUUUUCGUGAUUGCGUUCAAAUUUAUACUGGCCGUGCAACGGUUUGCAAGAGGGGGAAUGAAACUGACGUCCAAUCCGCGUAAACCUGACGUUUGAGGGACUGAG